GUAGGGAAUCUUCCACAAUGGGCGAAAGCCUGAUGGAGCAACGCCGCGUGUGUGAUGAAGGGUUUCGGCUCGUAAAACACUGUUGUAAGAGAAGAAUGACAUUGAGAGUAACUGUUCAAUGUGUGACGGUAUCUUACCAGAAAGGAACGGCUAAAUACGUGCCAC
rnacentral:rRNA from 1 species